GAUGAACGCUGGCGGCGUGCCUAAUACAUGCAAGUCGAGCGAACGGACGAGAAGCUUGCUUCUCUGAUGUUAGCGGCGGACGGGUGAGUAACACGUGGAUAACCUACCUAUAAGACUGGGAUAACUUCGGGAAACCGUAGCUAAUACCGGAUAAUAUUUUGAACCGCAUGGUUCAAAAGUGAAAGACGGUCUUGCUGUCACUUAUAGAUGGAUCCGCGCUGCAUUAGCUAGUUGGUAAGGUAACGGCUUACCAAGGCAACGAUGCAUAGCCGACCUGAGAGGGUGAUCGGCCACACUGGAGCUGAGACACGGUCCAGACUCCUACGGGAGGCAGCAGUAGGGAAUCUUCCGCAAUGGGCGAAAGCCUGACGGAGCAACGCCGCGUGAGUGAUGAAGGUCUUCGGAUCGUAAAACUCUGUUAUUAGGGAAGAACAUAUGUGUAAGUAACUGUGCACAUCUUGGCGGUACCUAAUCAGAAAGCCACGGCUAACUACGUG
rnacentral:rRNA from 1 species